rnacentral:rRNA from 1 species
AUUGAACGCUGGCGGAAUGCUUUACACAUGCAAGUCGAACGGCAGCACGGACUUCGGUCUGGUGGCGAGUGGCGAACGGGUGAGUAAUACAUCGGAACGUGCCCAGUCGUGGGGGAUAACGUAGCGAAAGCCACGCUAAUACCGCAUAAGAUCUAAGGAUGAAAGCGGGGGAGCGCAAGACCUCGCGCGAUUGGAGCGGCCGACGGCAGCUUAGGUAGUUGGUAGGGUAAAGGACUACCAAGCCGACGAUCUGUAGCUGGUCUGAGAGGAUGAUCAGCCACACUGGGACUGAGACACGGCCCAGACUCCUACGGGAGGCAGCAGUGGGGAAUUUUGGACAAUGGACGCAAGUCUGAUCCAGCCAUUCCGCGUGCAGGAUGAAGGCCCUCGGGUUGUAAACUGCUUUUGUACAGAACGAAAAGGCUCUGGUUAAUACCUGGGGCUCAUGACGGUACUGUAAGAAUAAGCACCGGCUAACUACGUGCCAGCCGCCGCGGUAA